UUUCAGGAUGCCAGAAGGCACCAAGCUGCCAAUUGAUUUUCAGUACAUUAAGUUAUCAUUCAUUUGAGGCCUGCAUUGUUUACAGUGCUGUAUGAUGCCCCCAGCCUAUCAGUGAUGAGAAUUGAUUUGACACUGUUUCCAGAAUUAAUUUGAAGUGCAGAAGACUCCUGGCAAAUGGGGCAUUGUAAAGGAACCCUUCUAUUGGCAACAUCCAGGAAAUGAACUGAGCUACAAGACAUAUUAUAGUAUGAAUUCAAAAGGAAAUAUGAAAGAUAAAAAUAG